UAUGAAUGUCUUCUUUUGAGAAGUGUCUGUUCAUAUCCUUUACCCACUUUUUGAUGGGGUUGUUUGUUUUUUUCUUGUAAAUUUGAUUGCAUUUUUUAUAGGUUCUGGAUAUUAGCCCUUUGUCAGACAGAAACACAGAAUAAGAGAAGGAAAGUGGCACCAAGAUAAUAAAUACCUCAGUGAAAGAGGCUAGAUUUGAGCUUCGAAUUAUAUCGACAGAGCUCUGAUUCCAAACCUCCUGAUCUGUUAAAGAGAACAGAAUCAUAGAUUCACCUCUAUGGUGGAGUAAAGAUGGUCACAAAAUCUUUGACACUUUUCCCAUUGUGAGAUGGAGUCUAUGUCUCUUCCACUUGAACUCGGGUGGGCUCUGCGACUGCUCUGAUGGAUAGAAUCUGGUGGAAAUGACACUGGCAGUGUCUGGCCUUAAGAAACUGACAGCUUCUGCUUCCUAUCACCUGGAACACUAACUAUUGAAAGGCAGCUUCUAUGUGAGUAGGAUGACCACCCUGAGAGUACCAUGUUGUGAGAAGCCAAGGCCAUGUGAAGAGUCCAUGGAGGAUGAGACAUUAUGUGGAGCAAGAGAGAGACCGAAGAAGACCGAGAUGCUGGACAGAGGAGUGAGACAUAGGAGCCCUCUGGGAAGUCCAUACCCAGCCCCAGUGACUCGGGCUGACAACACGUGAAUCAGAAACAAGUUGCCCAGCUGCAGUCAUCAUGAAUUCCCAAUCCAAAAUUUUAGAUGGAGUCUCGCUCUUGUCACCCAGACUGGAGUGCAGUGGUGCGAUCUUGGCUCACUGCAACCUCCGUCUCCUGAGUUCAAGCAAUUCUCAUACCUCAGCCUCCUGAGUAGCUGGGAUUACAGGUGCCCACCACCACAGCCAGGAUUUCAGAUUGAGAGGACAUGCACUUGAGGAACCAAACCCAAGAUUUAUUUGUACCUGGAUCUGAGAUCUGGAACCUUGAGCCUAAGCUUAAUAAUGUAAGGGGAUGAGACUUUUGGGGGCUGCAGAAGAUGAUUAGCACAUUUUCAUGUGGGGAGAGUAUUGUUUGUGACCACAGGGCAGAGUGUGGCACAUCAAAGAUGGCCACAAAUUCUUUGACAUUUCUCCCAUUGAUAAGUGGGAAGCUUGUGUUCCCCUGCUUAAAUCUGGUUAGAUCCUAUGGCUGUUUUGAUCAAUUGAAUAUGGCCAAAGUGAAGUCGUGCCAGUUUCUUGAACCAGGUUUUAGGCAGUUGGCAACUUUCACUUCCUGUUCCUUGGAACUCUCAGUUUUGGGAUCCAGCUACCUCUUGAGAAGUAUGAUUGUACUGACACUACCAUGCCAUGAGAUGCCCAGCCACACAGAGGAGGAGGCAUCGUGCAGAGAGAGAACCAUAGAGAAUCCAUGUAUCAUGCAUGAGCGAGAGUCAUCUUGGAAGUGGAUUCUCCAGUCCUAGCUGAUGCCUCAUGGAUUAGCAAGAAACUCAGAAUGCAUGAUGCAUAAAACCCCUGAGCAAAAUAAACAGGCAGUUUUGAGCCAGUACAUUUAGGGUAGCUGAUUAUACAGCCACAGAUGACCAGAACAACUUCUUGGAAUUCACUAUUUAAUCAAAAGCACUUGCUCUUCCUGUCACGAAAAUUGUUGGUUAUACAAAAUUGGAGUUUGUCUGACCUCAUGACUUCUGGCCAAUAGAAUGCAGCAGAAGUGAUGUCUCCAUUUUGAGCCUGGGCCUCAGGAGGCUCGUGUCCUUCUGCUCUUUCUCUUGGAAGCUUUGGAGGCUGAGGACAUGAGUUAUCCCAGCUGCCUCCCUGGCUGACCACAAAUUUAUGAGCAAGCCAAGCUGAGGUCAGCUGAGCCCAGCAGCCUAGAAGAACCCGCCCCGUUGGACCCAGCCUAAAUUGCCAACCCACAGAACCAUGAACUGAAAAAUGGUUAUUGUUAAGCUGUAAGUUUUAAAGCGGUUUCUUAAAUAGUGAGAGCUAACUUUAAUAGUGAUACAACAGCCUUCUAUUUGAUUUACUGCCAACCAAGAACAAAGUGGAGAAAUAUUGAUUGUGCUGUCCAGUUUUAGGGAAUUUGUUUACUUUCAUUUCUUUACACAUUGGAGGAUGAAACCAAUUAACUUUUAGGAUUUCUGUGUAACGGAAUAUGAUGAGGAACACAGCAACACUUCUGUGACAUUUCUGCCAAAAACGAAAACCUGAACCUAAUUAUAAGAAAACAUCAGAUGAACCCAAACCGAGGGACAUUCUUCAAAAGUGUUAAGGUCACAAAGGACAAGGACACACUAAGAAAUUCUUCCAGUUUGAAGGAGACUAAAGAGAUGUGACAACAAAAAUUCAACAUGUGAUUCUGACUGGAUCCUUCGACUAGAAAGAGCAUUAUUAGAACGCUGGGCAAAAUGUGGGCAUUUAUGGUUUGUUUAGAGGAGUGCAUUAGCAUUACUUGCCUAUUUUGGUGGUUGUAUUGUGGUUAUAUAGAAAUGGCUUUGUUUAUAGAAAUGAUACAUGAAAGUAUUCGGAAGUUUUGGAGCUUCAUGUAAGUAACUUAUUCUCAAUAGUUCAGUUUACAAGUUUAAAAAGAAAAAGAAUAUUAUAGAAAAGAAUUGUUUUGUUUUGUUUUGAGACAGAGUCUCAGUCUGUCACCCAGGCUGGAGGGCAGUGGCACUUUCUAGGCUCACUGCAACCUCCAUCUCCUGGGUUCAAGUGAUAGAAAAGAAUAUUAAUGUUAUGGCAGUUCUAAUCCCACAAGAUAAUAAAGAACAGGUUUCUC
rnacentral:lncRNA from 1 species